GUGUACACAAGAUAGAGCUCUCAUCAAGUUUUUAUAAACUUUACAAUUAAAUCCACCUUCAAAAGUUAUUUCAAAAACUUUAUUCGUAUUAAUCUAAAAAUUGUAACCCACCUCUAUCUUUUAUAUAAGCUGCACCUUUACUUGAAGUAAAUGAUUUUCUCAUAAAAGAAAGUUUUCUGAAGAAACUGACUGACAACAGCGGUAUACAAACUGAUUACAAAUAAAAGUAGAGUUUUUCGUGGUUCAUCGUUUAUAGGGCAGGUUCCUCUAAAUGGCUAUCUUGCCGCCAAAUCCGUUAAAUUUCAUUAUUUAUACUAUUCCAAAAUUUUAUAUUUAUAAGUA
rnacentral:rRNA from 1 species